rnacentral:rRNA from 1 species
UAAGGAAUAUUGGUCAAUGGACGAAAGUCUGAACCAGCCAUGCCGCGUGGAGGAUGAAGGCCCUCUGGGUUGUAAACUUCUUUUAUAGGGGACGAAAAAGGGUCUUUCUAGAUCAACUGACGGUACCCUAGGAAUAAGCACCGGCUAACCCCGUGCCAGCAGCCGCGGUAAUACGGAGGGCGCAAGCGUUAUCCGGAUUCACUGGGUUUAAAGGGUGCGUAGGUGGGUUAGUAAGUCAGUGGUGAAAUCUUCGAGCUUAACUCGGAAACUGCCAUUGAUACUAUUAGUCUUGAAUAUUGUGGAGGUUAGCGGAAUAUGUCAUGUAGCGGUGAAAUGCUUAGAUAUGACAUAGAACACCAAUGGCGAAGGCAGCUGGCUACACAUAUAUUGACACUGAGGCACGAAAGCGUGGGGAUCAAAC